GGGGUUGUGACUCAGUGGUAGAGCGCUUGCCUAGCACAUGCAAGAUGCUAGGUUCAAUCCUCAGCACCA
rnacentral:tRNA from 1 species